GUACGUACUUGGUAGAGGAGAUACCAUGCUCAAGCAGGUGGUUUUCCCAGUGCAAGGCUCAUCCAUUGCACUCUGGGUAUGCUGACCCUGCUGUUUCCCCAAAUGUGGGAAACUUGACUGCAUAACUGUGGUAGUGGGGGACUGUGUUAGCACUCUCCCAUG